rnacentral:rRNA from 1 species
AUUAACGCUGGCAGAGUGCAUAACACAUGCAAGUCGAGCGGGGUUGGCGGAUUAUCGCGGCCUAGCGGCAGACGAGUGAGUAACACGUAAGCAACCUGCCUUGGAAUGGCGAACAACCUUCCGAAAGGAUGGCUAAUACGCCGUAUGAUCGCCUGGGGGCAUCCCCGGGGGAUGAGAGACCCGCAAGGGUCGUUCCAAGAGGGGCUUGCGUCCCAUCAGCUAGUUGGCGGGGUAACGGCCCACCAAGGCUAUGACGGGUACCCGGCCUGAAAGGGCGGACGGGCACGAAGGCACUGAGACACGGGCCUUACUCCUACGGGAGGCAGCAGUGGGGAAUUUUGGACAAUGGGGGAAACCCUGAUCCAGCAACUCUGCGUGAGGGAUGAAGUCUUUCGGGAUGUAAACCUCUUUUGUCAGGGACGAACGCCCGCAAGGGUUUGACGGUACCUGGCGAAUAAGCCACGGCUAACUAUGU